rnacentral:rRNA from 1 species
GGUGUUCCAAGUCUGCUGUCAAAGACCGAAGCUCAACUUCGGGCAGGCAGUGGAAACUGGGAGACUAGAGUACGGUACGGGUAGAGGGAAUUCCAGUGUAGCGGUGAAAUGCGUAGAGAUUGGAAAGAACACCAGUGGCGAAGGCGCUCUACUGGGCCGUAACUGACACUCAGGGACGAAAGCUAGGGGAGCGAAAGGGAUUAGAUACCCCUGUAGUCCUAGCUGUAAACGAUGGAUACUAGGCGUUGCUUGUAUCGACCCGAGCAGUGCCGUAGCUAACGCGUUAAGUAUCCCGCCUGGGGAGUACGCACGCAAGUGUGAAACUCAAAGGAAUUGACGGGGGCCCGCACAAGCGGUGGAGUAUGUGGUUUAAUUCGAUGCAACGCGAAGAACCUUACCAGGACUUGACAUCCCGCGAAUUCUGGGGAAACUCGGAAGUGCCUUCGGGAGCGCGGAGACAGGUGGUGCAUGGCUGUCGUCAGCUCGUGUCGUGAGGUGUUGGGUUAAGUCCCGCAACGAGCGCAACCCUCGUCCUUAGUUGCCAGCAUUAAGUUGGGCACUCUGGGGAGACUGCCGGUGACAAGCCGGAGGAAGGUGGGAUGACGUCAAGUCAGCAUGCCCCUUACGUUCUGGGCUACACACGUACUACAAUGGUUGGGACAAAGGGCAGCGAGCUCGCAAGAGUCAGCGAAUCUCAUCAAACCCAGCCUCAGUUCAGAUUGCAGGCUGCAACU